AAAACAAACAACAACAACAACAACAAAAAGGACAUCUUUCACAUUUGUCCCUUUUGAUCAAGAUCUGGCAGAUCCAAGAACCUUUAAACUCUCUGCAGGCAGGAACAAUCCAGCAGGAAGAUCACUGAGCCAGGACUGAGGUGAUUUCUCAUCCCAGGUUUACCACUGACGUGUCAUGGGUCUUGAGUUCCUGUCCAAAUGGGAAAAAACAGUGCACUUGGACUUCAGAGUCAAGGGAGCUAUAUUUGAGCCAGAGUUCUACUAUGGCAGGGGUCCCCAGCUCCUGGGCCAUGGACUGGUACCAGUCCGUGGCCUGUUAGGAACCGGACCACACAGCAAGAGGUGAGCAGCGGGCAAGCAGGCAAGCGAGCCAAACUUCAUCUAUAUUUUCAGCUGCUCCCCAUCACUUGAAUUAUCAUUGCCUGAGCUCCGCCUCCUGUCAGAUCAGC
rnacentral:lncRNA from 1 species